UACAGAGGUCUCAAGCGUUGUUCGGAUUCAUUGGGCGUAAAGGGUGCGUAGGCGGCGCGGUAAGUCGGGUGUGAAAUCUUGGAGCUUAACUCCGAAACUGCAUUCGAUACUGCCGUGCUUGAGGACUGGAGAGGAGACUGGAAUUUACGGUGUAGCGGUGAAAUGCGUAGAUAUCGUGAGGAACACCAAUGGCGAAGGCAACUUCCUGGACAGUUACUGACGCUCAGGCACGAAAGCGUGGGGAGCAAAAGGG
rnacentral:rRNA from 1 species